rnacentral:rRNA from 1 species
UACGAAGGGGGCAAGCGUUGUUCGGAAUCACUGGGCGUAAAGCGCGCGUAGGCGGAUCGAUAAGUCAGGGGUGAAAGCCCGAGGCUCAACCUCGGAACUGCCUUUGAUACUGUCGAUCUGGAGUCCGGGAGAGGUGAGUGGAACUCCUAGUGUAGAGGUGAAAUUCGUAGAUAUUAGGAAGAACACCAGUGGCGAAGGCGGCUCACUGGCCCGGUACUGACGCUGAUGUGCGAAAGCGUGGGGAGCAAAC